rnacentral:rRNA from 1 species
CAGCAGCCGCGGGAAUACGGAGGGUGCAAGCGUUAAUCGGAAUUACUGGGCGUAAAGCGCACGCAGGCGGUCUGACAAGUCAGAUGUGAAAUCCCCGGGCUUAACCUGGGAACUGCAUUUGAAACUGUCAGGCUGGAGUCUUGUAGAGGGGGGUAGAAUUCCAGGUGUAGCGGUGAAAUGCGUAGAGAUCUGGAGGAAUACCGGUGGCGAAGGCGGCCCCCUGGACAAAGACUGACGCUCAGGUGCGAAAGCGUGGGGAGCAAACAGGAUUAGAUACCCCGGUAGUCCCUGUCUCUUAUAC